CCUACGGGUGGCUGCAGUGAGGAAUAUUGGUCAAUGGACGAGAGUCUGAACCAGCCAAGUAGCGUGAAGGAUGACUGCCCUAUGGGUUGUAAACUUCUUUUAUAUGGGAAUAAAGUGUUCCACGUGUGGGAUUUUGUAUGUACCAUAUGAAUACGGAUCGGCUAACUCCGUGCCAGGCGCCGCGGUAAUACGGAGGAUCCGCGCGUUAUCCGGUUUUAUUGGGUUUAAAGGGCGCGGAGGUGGAUUGUUAAGUCAGUUGGGAAAGUUUGGGGCUCAACCGUAAAAUUGCAGUUGAAACUGGCAGUCUUGAGUAUAGUAGAGGUGGGCGGAAUGCGUGGUGUAGCGGUGAAAUGCUUAGAUAUCACGAAGAACUCCGAUUGCGAAGGCAGCUCACUGGACUGCAACUGACACUGAGGCACGAAAGUGUGGGUAUCAAACAGGAUUAGAUACCCUAGUAGUC
rnacentral:rRNA from 1 species